AUUGAACGCUAGCGGUAGGCCUAACACAUGCAAGUCGAACGAGUGGCGGACGGGUGAGUAAUCUCUGGGAAACUGCCCGAUGGAGGGGGAUAACUACUGGAAACGGUAGCUAAUACCGCAUACCAUGCGAUGUGCCCCGAUGGGAUUGGCUGGGAGGUGGGGUCAUGGCUCACCUAGGCGACGAUCCCUAGCUGGUCUGAGAGGAUGACCAGCCACACUGGAACUGAGCAACGGUCAAGACCCCUACGGGAGGCAGCAGUGGGGAAUAUUGCACAAUGGGCGAAAGCCUGAUGCAGCCCUGCCGCGUGUAGGAAGAAGGCCUUCGGGUUGUAAAGUCCUACCAGCGAGGACGCUUUACUCGCAGAAGAAGCACCGGCUAACUCCGUGCCAGCAGCCGCGGUAAUUC
rnacentral:rRNA from 1 species